rnacentral:lncRNA from 1 species
AUCAAGAAAAAGAAUUCUGAGAGUGAUGGUCAGCCAUAUAGAAGAAUACAUUGAACCUAUAGUUUUCUGAAGAACCAGUUCAAAAGAUCCAAAAAAUACAAAAGGAGAAGUACAAAUGUCUACCACAAGACGAAAACGUAAUAUGUUAUGUUGUUUACCGUAAGCUGUAGUAAAAUGAGCUCAAUUGUUGACAGGUAUGUUUU